AAAUGCAUUUACGUUUGAUAACUGUAUAUUGAUUUGGGGUAUGAUCUACAUAUCAUAUAUAAAUAUGCUAUUGAGAAUCUUACAUUAUUAAUGGUCAAUAUAUAACGAUAAAAUAUAUGUGCACCAAACGAUGUCAAUUCAUAUAUAAAAACUUAAGGGUAGCUGGUAUAUUUAUGAAUUAUGAGUGAUGCUGAGUUAGUGCUUAUAUAAGCAAUGGGUCAUAUUUUAAAUAUUGUAUAUAAGUAUAGGUCAUUCUUUCUUAAAUAUUUAUAUAACUAUAGGUACUGAAUUUCAGUGAAUGUUAUAUUAAAAUGGGUACGUUUUUUGAGGCAAAAUUGGCACACCCCUACCAAAAAAAUAUCAAAGUUACCCCCUCCCCCCGUGCUUGCUGCAAGCUUGCGGCAAACAAAAAGUUUGCAGGAACACAGAAAAUAGUGUUUGCAGAUGUUUGCCGCUAGCUGCAAACUUCCGGCAAACAUUGCUGCAAGCUUGCGGCAAGUUUGCAGAAACAUCAAUGUUUGCCGUAAGAUUGCCAGAAAGUUUAAAAUAAUAAAGAAUGUUUGCCGCAAGAUUGCAGAAAACUUUGACCAUUCUAUAUGUUUGCC
rnacentral:lncRNA from 1 species